rnacentral:lncRNA from 1 species
AAGAAAGAAAACAAAAUUGUGAUGUUUCUGAUUGGUGGUCCAAACUUUCCUGAGAACCACUGCAUUGAACAAGGAGAUGAUCUGAGACAGGUGAAACCAGUGGAAUGAAUGUUUAAGAAACCUGCAAGCUUGGGAAAAAAGGCCAGCAACUUGGAAAGAUUAAUCAAAAGGAUAUUUGGGAAGCUUAUCACCUCCACCUCUUGUUUGGUUUGUUUGUUUGUUUGUUUGUUUGUUUGUUUGUUUGUUUUUGAGACAGAGUCUCGCUCUCUCGCCCAGGCUUGAGUGCAGUAACAUGAUCUAGGCUCACUGCAGCCUCUGCCUCCCGGGUUCAAGGAUUCUCCUGCCUCAGCCUCCAGAGUAGCUGGGACUACAGGCACAUGCCACUGUGCCAGACUAAUUUUUGUAUUUUUCUUUUCUUUUUUAGUAGAGACAGGGUUUCACCAUGUUGGACAAGCUGGUCUCAAACUCUUGACCUCAGGUGAUCUGCCCGCCUUGGCCUCCCAAAGUGCUAGAAUUACAGGCAUGAGCCACCAAGCCCAGCCUCUCCUCCACCUCUUAAAGAGUGGUAAUCAGAUCUGUAUGGAUGCCACUUGGGUCAUUUGUCAUUUCACUUGAAGGCAAAGAAAUGUUUUUAACUGGUAAGUACAACCUUAUCAUAAAAGUCUAUUUUCUGUAAGAAAUACUGAAAAUAUAUUAAAGACCUCCCUUAGUGCCCUUCAGGACACAUAAGAAUCCUAAUAUACCAGGUUGGGAACCAUUGCUAUAGGAUUUGAAAGGAAUAGUAAAUAGUAUUAUCUGAAAGUGAAGAGGAAGAAGAGAUUCUACUUAAAAAUAUUUGUUAAAUGACUGAAAGAAAUAAAUCUAUGAAGUCGUUUAGAACAUGGUCCUUUAGGGAAAGACCUGCCUGCUGUAGAUUCCAUUCACAUUUUAUACGUUUGUAAUGCCUUACAAAGCUAGUCUUUGCACUUAAAGCUACUGCUAACUGAGCAAUAGAAUCACACCUCAUAAGGCUUAAACUGUGUAUUUAAAGGUUUUGAUAGGGGAUCCAGAAAUCUGAGUGAAACCCUGGGUUCUGCAGGUACACAUGGCUCAUGUAUAAGGCAUUUGAAGGGCUUGUGGCCUUGAUGGGGAACACUGUCAACUCUGAUCCUGUUUGUCUGAGGUUACUUGGGGUACAAGAUGAAGACAGAAGGGCGUGCCUCCCUUCUGGAACCAUCACGGCCAGCAGCCGCAUGUUGGGCAGCUGCUGAUACUCAGGGUGCCCAGGCGGGAGAUGGUGAGAGGCCAGCCCUAGCCAAAUUCCUUGCUGCUGCCAGAGGAAGCAGUCUUGCCAUGUGUGUCCACAGGGAUAAGAUUAGCUGCCGAGGUGGAGCUGAUAUCUGAGCGAGGCUCUCGAGGACACAUUCUGGAUAGAUCUCCAUAUGGGAGUUGGAUGACUGCCACCAGCCAGUCUUGGCAGUCCCCAGAAUUCUUCUGAAGUGGACAGUGGAAGAAGUGAAACAUUUGCCUGGCAGCUGGCAUCAAUGCAGUCUCUCUCUGGACAUGCAGAAGAAAAGGUUCAAAAGGAACUGAACCCAAACCAGUCUUUAUUUGAUUUUAGAUGGAAUUAAAACAUUUUUGUGGGUCUCGACAAGUAUUGCCAGCACUGCACCUGCCACCCUGAUAGAGAUGGGGACUUGCUAUACUGCCCAGGCUGGAUAUGAACUCUUUGCCUCAAAGGAUCCUUCCAUCUCAGCCUCUCAAAAUACUGGGACUGCAGGUGUGAGCCACCAUGCCUGGCCUGUAUUUGGACAGUUGUUGCAGCACCAUGCUUAGCCUAUAUUUGGACAGUUUUUGCAGCAAAGAUGGAAUAAUCAUAUCUUCCCUACAGAGUUCCUGUGAGAAUUAUAAGUGAAAGCCCUUUUAAAUGAUCAAGGGUGAGCUGUGUGUGUGUGUGUGUGUGUGUGUGUGUGUGUGUGUGUGUGUGUAUCAUGACCUAGUUGCUACUAAGGCCUUUGUGCGUGUCGGUGUGCUUCUGCAGCAUGUACUCUUGGUUUUUGUUCCUCUUUUCUCUUACCUUCUUGAUUAGGUUUGUUCUCUUAUUAAAUGAUAUAAUACGUGCAAAAUGCCUGACAUAGCACCUAGAAUCGGGGUGUGUGUGUUAACAGGAGUAAUUGCCAGCGCUGUCCCUUCUUUCCCCCCAUAUCUCCAUCUCUUCUCACUGGCUAUCUAUGGUCUGUGGGUGAACCAAGGGACGUUCCUCCUUUGCCAUGAACUUUCAGAGGACUGAUGACUCCUGAGCCUGACUUACAGUCUUUUAAUUCUGGGCGAGUCACAACUUGG